rnacentral:rRNA from 1 species
CCUACGGGGGGCAGCAGUGGGGAAUAUUGCACAAUGGGCGAAACCCUGAUGCAGCAACGCCGCGUGAGCGAAGAAGGCCUUCGGGUCGUAAAGCUCUGUCCUAAGGGAAGAAUACUGACGGAACCUAAGGAGGAAGCCACGGCUAACUAGGUGCCAGCAGCCGCGGUAAUACGUAGGGGGCGAGCGUUAUCCGGAAUCACUGGGCGUAAAGGGUGAGUAGGCGGCUAAGUAAGCCAGGGGUGAAAGGCUACGGCUAAACCGUAGUAAGCCUUUGGAACGAGUUGGCUUGAGUGCAGGAGGGGAGAGUGGAAUUCCUGGUGUAGCGGUGAAAUGCGUAGAUAUUAGGAGGAACACCGGUGGCGAAGGCGGCUCUCUGGGCUGUAACUGACGCUGAGGCACGAAAGCGUGGGGAGCGAACAGGAUUAGAUACCCCUGUAGUC